rnacentral:misc_RNA from 1 species
GGAUGAAGAACGUAGCAAAAUGCGAUACCUGGUGUGAAUUGCAGAAUCCCGUGAACCAUCGAGUUUUUGAACGCAAGUUGCGCCCGAGGCCUUCUGGUUGAGGGCACGUCUGCCUGGGCGUCACGCCAAAAGACACUCCCCACCCACCCCGGUGCGGACGUGGUGUUUGGCCCCUCGUGCCAAAGGGCGCGGUGAGCCAAAGUUGGGGCUGCCGGCGGUGCCGAUCACAGCACAAGGUGGAUGACGCAUGUUGUUCUCGGUGCUCUGUUAUGGACCGCUACCGGUGAUAUGGCCCUCAGGACCCAUGGACCGAAGCGCAAGUUGCUUGGACCGCGACCCCAGGUCAGUCGGGAUUACCCGCUGAAUUUAAGCAUAUCAAUAAGCGGAGGA